rnacentral:SRP_RNA from 1 species
GUCGGACUGGGUAACGCUGGCCUGUGACCUAAGUGGGGACACGAAAAGCAUGGAACAUGGCUUCUGCCCAUCUCGUCGAUCUCCACUUGGCUAUUUCCUGGCUCGCCCGUUCCAAGCCGAGAGUAGAGUCAAUUGACCCGGGCGAAGGCUUGGUUCGCUUGACUCCUAAAGUGGAGGGUACCGCGUUAGGCUGGCUUCACAGAGCAGCGAUCACCUCCCUCUCCUGGCAGUGGAAGGAUAACGGGUCGGUGCCUGUAGAGUUCAAAUGGCUUGAUGGGCUGCGCUAACUGGACCAUGCCUUUU